CGUUGGAGCGGGUCUAUAGGCGAUGAUUUAGCGGCCGCGAAUUCGCCUUGUGCCAGCCGCCGCGUAAUUCCAGUCGUCCAAUAGCGUAUAUUGAAGUUGUUGCAGGUAAAAAGUUCGUAGUUGAAACUCGGGCCUGGCUGGCGGGUCCGCCUCACCGCGUGCACUCGUCCGGCCGGGCCUUCCUUCUGAAGAACCUCAUGCCCUUCACUGGGCGUGCUGGGGAAUCAGGACUUUUACUUUGAAAAAAUUAGAGUGUUCAAAGCAGGCCUUUGCUCGAAUACGUUAGCAUGGAAUAAUAAAAUAGGGCGUGCGUUUCUAUUUUGUUGGUUUCUAGAGACGCCGCAAUGAUUAACAGGAACAGUCGGGGGCAUCAGUAUUCAGUUGUCAGAGGUGAAAUUCUUGGAUUUACUGAAGACUAACUACUGCGAAAGCAUUUGCCAAGGAUGUUUUCAUUAAUCAGUGAACGAAAGUUAGGGGGAUCGAAGACGAUCAGAUACCGUCGUAGUCUUAACCGUAAACUAUGCCGACUAGGGAUCGGGCGAUGUUCUCUUUCUGACUCGCUCGGCACCUUACGAGAAAUCAAAGUUUUUGGGUUCUGGGGGGAUUAUGGUCGCAAGGCUGAAACUUAAAGAAAUUGACGGAAGGUCACCACCAGGCGUGGAGCCUGCGGCUUAAAUUUGACUCAACACGGGAAACUCACCAGGUCCAGAUGAAAUAAGGAUUGACAGAUUGAGAGCUCUUUCUUGAUUUUCAGGUGGGGUGCAUGGGCCGUUCUUAGUUCGUGGGGUGACUUGUCUGCUUAAUUGCGAUAACGAGCGGAGACCUUUACCUCUGCUAAAUAGCCAGGGCUAACCUUUGGUUGGGUCGCCGGCUUGCUUAAGAAGAGACUUAAUCGAC
rnacentral:rRNA from 1 species